AUGGGAAACAGGGUGAAGUAGAGAAGCAGGACCCGGCGGCGGCAAGCACUCUUCCCUUUCCUGCUGCCUUUGUUCUGCGGGGCACCCUCGGAGAAGAUCUGCUACUCUAUUCCAGAAGAAACGGUCCAGGGCUCCAUGGUGGGGAACCUUGCUGAGGACAUGGGGCUGCAUGUUCAGGAUUUAUUGACCUGAAACCUUAGAGUUAGUGCAGAGAAACAAUACUUUACCAUGAACAUGGAGAAUGGGAACAUACUUGUGAGUGACAAAAUAGAUUGAGAGUCACUGUCCUCAAAAUCCUCCGUGUCAUACCCUUAGAGAUUGUAGCAGAGAAUCCUCUAAAUGUUUUUCACAUAAAUGUGAUGAUAGAAGAUAUAAAUGAUAAUCCACCUCAUUUUCCCCAAAAUAGCAUUGUUUUACAAAUCAAUGAACUAGCAAUUCCAUGCAUUCGGUUUGGCCUGGAAUCUGCUAUAGAUGCAGAGGUAGGGCCUCACUCUCUCCAGAGUUACCAGCUCAGUUCUAAUGAACAUUUCUCUCUGAUGAUGGACAACACUAAUGGCAAGAAUGCCCCAGAAGCCCCUGGACCAGGAGCAACAGAGCUCUCAUCUCCUGGUCCUGAAAGCAAUGGACGUGGGUGACCCAGUCCUAAAUGGCACUGCUGCAAUUCAAAUUGAGGUCACUGAUGCCAACAAUAAUGCCCCAGUUUUUAGUCAGGAUGUAUACAAAGUCAGCCUUAGAGAGAAUGUGCCCCCAGGCACCUCUGUACAGCCACUGACCAGGAUGAAGGUGUCAAUGCGGAGAUCACCUACUCUUUCAAAUCCCUGCGAGAUGAUAUUGGAAAUAUGUUUGUGCUAGACCAUCAAAAUGGGGAAAUUAAAUCCAAAGACUUAAUAGACUUCGAAAUUCGUAGCAGUUAUACCAUGAGCAUAGAAGCUAAGGAUGGUGGAAGCAUGACCAGCGAAUGUAAAAUUAUACUAGAAAUCCUAGAUGAGAACGACAAUGCCCCAGACGUGGUUUUUACUUCAGUGUCCAGUUCUGUAACUGAGGAUGCAGAACCCUGGACGGUGAUCACUCUGUUCAAAACACAUGAUAAAGAUUCGAGAGAAAAUGGAGAGGUUACAUGCCUCAUAAACGAAAGAGUUCCUUUUAGUAUCUAAUCUUCCACCAAUAAUUACUAUAAGCUUGUAACAGAUGGGACCCUGGAUUGGGAGUGGAUCCCGGAGUACAACGUCACCAUCACUGCCACUGACAGGGGCAAGCCUCCACUCUCAUCCAGCACAAGCGUCACCCUACGCAUUGGUAAAGUCAACGACAAUGCUCCGGUUUUCCACCAGGUCUCCUACGUGGUCCACGUGGCCGAAAACAACCUUCCCGGAGCCUCCAUGGCAUAAGUCAGCGCCUCUGACCUGGACCUAGGGCUGAAUGGCCAAGUCUCCUAUACCAUCGUUACCAGUGACUUGGAGCUGCGGGCACUGUCGUCCUACGUGUCGGUGAGCGCACAGAGCGGGGUGGUGGUCGCGCAGCCCGCCUUCGACCACGAGCAGCUGUGCGCCUUUGAGCUCACGAUGCAGACCCACGACCAGGGCUCGCCCGCGCUCAGCGCCAACGUGAGCCUGCGCAUGUUGGUGGGCGACCUCAAUGACAAUGUGCCGCAGGUGCUGUACCCCGCGCUGGGGCCCGAUGCCUCCGCACUCUUCGAUAUGGUGCCACGCGCCGCAGAGUCCGGCUACCUGGUGACCAGGGUGGUGGUGGUGGACGCAGAUUCGGGACACAACGCUUGGCUGUCCUACCACGUGCUGCAGGCCAUUGAGCCCAGGCUUUUCAGCCUGGGGCUGCACACGGGCAACCUGCUGGUUGCUGUGCGUGACGGAGGAAAGCCGCCGCUCUGCACCGCUACGCUUCACCUAGUCUUCGCAGACAGCCUGCAGGAGGCACUGCCAGACUUCAGUGACGGUCCUGUGCCCUCUGAUUCCCAGGCAAAGCUGCAGAUUUACCUGGUCGGGGCCUUGGCCUUGAUUUCUAUGCUCUUCUUCCUCGCAGUGAUUUUGGCGAUCGCCUUGCACCUGCGAUGCUCUUCCAGCCCCUCUGCCUGGGGUUGCUUUAACCCUGGUCUGUGUUCUAAGACUAGACCAAGGGUUUCUCCCAACUACAAUGAGGGAAAUUUGCUUUAUUCCUGCAAUCUCUAUGUUCCCUCGGAUUCUAGAAAAAGAUUUAAUUUUCUCACCAUGACACCAGAAACAGUCCCCCCACAAGAUCUUUCUAAUGAAGUUUCUCUGGUAGCAAGCUUCACUGAAGAGAAUAACAAGAUAAGCUCUAACUCUGUUGCUCCUACUCACAUGAGUUCCAAUAAAUGUCUUUCAUUUACAAAUGGGUGUGGUUUAAUUUUCAAACCAAUAUUUUGGCAAGAAAAUCUUAAACAUAUUAUAUCUACUAUUGCUUCAGGUUUGUUUGCCCACUCUUAAUAUUUUCUGUUCCUUUCUGUGUGGGCCAGUAACUUCAUUAUUAGCUUUCAUGUAUUUUUGAAACAUUUUGACCAUUUUUACAGGAGACUUUUUUUUUUUUUUUGGAUGGAGUCUCGCUCUGUGGUCCAGGCUGGAGUGCAGUGGCGUGAUAUCGGCUCACUGCAAGCUCCGCCUUCCGGGUUCUGGCCAUUCUCCUGCCUCAGCCUCCCGGGUAGCUGGGACUACAGGCGCCCGCCACCACGCCCAGCUAAUUUUUUGUAUUUUUAGUACAGACGGGGUUUCACCGUGUUAGCCAGGAUGGUCUCGAUUUCCUGACCUCGUGAUCCUCCCGCCUCGGCCUCCCAAAGUGCUGGUAUUAUAGGCGUGAGCCACUGCGCCCUGCCCGGAG
rnacentral:sRNA from 1 species